ensembl:lncRNA
UCCCGUGCCACCUCCUGUCCGUGUCCCCUCUGUCCCCGAGCCCUUCCCACCUCUGCCCCAAUCCCAUCCCGGGGAGCUCCCAGCCCCUCCGCAUCCCGCUGGGAAUGUCGCACGCGGGAAUGUCAUGCGGGAAUGUCACAUGUGGGAAUGUCCCGCGGGAAUGUCACAUGUGGGAAUGUCCCAUGGGAAUGUCACGCACAGGAAUGUCACGCAUGGGAAUGUCCUGCGGGAAUGUCACAUGCGGGAAUGUUCCAUGGGAAUGUCACAUGUGGGAAUGUUCCAUGGGAAUGUCACACACAGGAAUGUCGCGCAUGGGAAUGUCACAUGUGGGAAUGUCCCAUGGGAACGUCACAUGUGGGAAUGUUCCAUGGGAAUGUCACACACGGGAAUGUCACACACAGGAAUGUCGCGCAUGGGAAUGUCCUGCGGGAAUGUCACAUGUGGGAAUGUCCCAUGGGAACGUCACACACGGGAAUGUCGCGCAUGGGAAUGUCCUGUGGGAAUGUCCUGUGGGAAUGUCACACGCAGGAAUGUCGCAUGGCAGGCAGAGCACUUCCCUUCCCAGGCUGGGGAAUUGGGGAACUCCCAGGACCACCCUGAGUGGCACUGACCACCCUGGCACUGACCACCCUGGCACUGACCACCCCAGCACUGACCACCCCUGCCUGGCCACCCUGGCACUGACCACCCUGGCACUGACCACCCUGGCACUGACCACCCCUGCCUGACCACCCUGGCACUGACCACCCUGGCACUGACCACCCUGGCACUGACCACCCCUGCCUGACCACCCUGGCACUGACCACCCCAGCACUGACCGCCCUGAGUGGCACUGACCACCCUGCUUGGCACUGACCACCCUGGCACUGACCACCCCGGCACUGACCACCCCAGCACUGACCAACCCUGCCCACCCUGGCACCCUGCUCAGCACUGACCACCCCAGCACUGACCACGCCUGCCUGGCACUGACCACCCUGCCUGACCACCCUGCCUGGCACUGACCACCCUGCUUUGCCACCCUGCCUGACCACCCCAGCACUGACCACCCCAGCAUUGACCACCCUGGCACUGACCACCCUGGCACUGACCACCCUGCCUGACCACCCCAGCACUGACCACCCCAGCACUGCCCACCCUAAGUGGCGCUGACCACCCUGCCUGACCACCCUGCCUGACCACCCUGCCUGACCACCCUGCCUGACCACCCUGCCUGGCACUGACCACCCUGCUUUGCCACCCUGCCUGACCACCCCUGCCUGACCACCCUGGCACUGACCACCCUGCUUGGCACGGACCACCCUGCCUGGCCACCCUGCCUAUCCCUGCCCCUGUCCCUACCCGUGUCCCUGCCUGUCUCCCCUGUCCCUGUCCCUGUCCCCCUGUCCCCCACGUCCCUCCCCUGUCCCCGCAGGUACCGCAGUCCCCGGUGUCCCCGGUGUCCCCCUGCGCGCCGCGGUGGAAGGUGACAGUGGCGGCCUGAGCCCGGGCAUUCCCGGGUCUCGGCCCCUUCUUUUUCCGCAGCUGUUUUUUGGGGCCACCCCUAGAAGGAGAGACCCGCCCGCGGCCAAAACCCCGCGGAGCGCAACCGCUCCGCGCCAAGCUCGCUCUGGGACCGGGAGAGCUGGACGCCUUCUCGCCAUUUCGGAGGAGCCUUCCUCACCCUCCUCCUCCUCCUUUUCCCUGGGUUUUUUCCCCCCUCGUCCUCCGCGCCCCCGGAGGGCGGAA